AACGGCCCACCAAGGCUACGAUCAGUAGGGGUUCUGAGAGGAAGGUCCCCCACAUUGGAACUGAGACACGGUCCAAACUCCUACGGGAGGCAGCAGUGAGGAAUAUUGGUCAAUGGGCGAGAGCCUGAACCAGCCAAGUAGCGUGCAGGAUGACGGCCCUAUGGGUUGUAAACUGCUUUUAUAAGGGAAUAAAGUGAGUCUCGUGAGGCUUUUUGCAUGUACCUUAUGAAUAAGGACCGGCUAAUUCCGUGCCAGCAGCCGCGGUAAUACGGAAGGUCCGGGCGUUAUCCGGAUUUAUUGGGUUUAAAGGGAGCGUAGGCCGGAGAUUAAGCGUGUUGUGAAAUGUAGAUGCUCAACGUCUGCACUGCAGCGCGAACUGGUUUCCUUGAGUACGCACAAAGUGGGCGGAAUUCGUGGUGUAGCGGUGAAAUGCUUAGAUAUCACGAAGAACUCCGAUUGCGAAGGCAGCUCACUGGAGCGCAACUGACGCUGAAGCUCGAAAGUGCGGGUAUCGAACAGGAUUAGAUACCCUGGUAGUCCGCACGGUAAACGAUGGAUGCCCGCUGUUGGCCUGAAUAGGUCAGCGGCCAAGCGAAAGCAUUAAGCAUCCCACCUGGGGAGUACGCCGGCAACGGUGAAACUCAAAGGAAUUGAC
rnacentral:rRNA from 1 species